rnacentral:rRNA from 1 species
AGAGUUUGAUUAUGGCUCAGGAUGAACGCUAGCUACAGGCUUAACACAUGCAAGUCGAGGGGCAGCGCGGGGGUAGCAAUACUCCUGGCGGCGACCGGCGCACUGGUGAGUAACACGUAUGCGACCUGCCCCGGACAGGGGGAUAAACCCGGGAAACUGGGCCUAAUACCCCAUAUGCCUUCCGACCGCAUGGUGGGAAGGUGAAAGAUCCGUCGGUCCGGGAUGGGCAUGCGGCGCAUUAGCUAGUUGGCGGGCAACGGCCCACCAAGGCGACGAUGCGGUAGGGUUCUGAGAGGAAGGUCCCCCACGCUGGUACUGAGACACGGACCAGACUCCUACGGGAGGCAGCAGUGAGGAAUAUUGGUCAAUGGACGCGAGUCUGAACCAGCCAAGUCGCGUCGGCGGGAUGAACGGCCCGUCCGGGUACGUAAACCGUCUUAGGCCGGGAGUAACGUGGGGCACGUGUGCCUCAGUGAGAGUACCCGGAGAAUAAGCAUCGGCUAACUCCGUGCCAGCAGCAGC